ensembl:lincRNA
GCCUUGUAAACAACAAUCAAUUUCAUGUAGGUGUCCACACAAAGUGGUUGUGAGUCAUGGUUAAGUGAUUGUGACAUGUCUGAAAGGCAAACUUAUGUCACAGGAAAGAAGAGCUCUCUGGAUAGAUGGUUCCCUACAGUUUUGUAAAGACAUCUGGAAACUUUGAUCUGGGAGACACCACAUCACAGAGAAAUUGUUAUCGUCUGAGAGCACACUGGAUGUCAAAGAUAAACUGGAGUUUCAAUCUUGCUAUCUUAACAAGAACAGAGGGAGAACAAAGAAUAAAACAAGAAAAUAAAGCUGACUAUAUUAAAAGAACAGAGUAGAAUAAUGUUCAGUGUGAUGGGCAACUUGAACAAUUAAAUGAAAAUAAAUUCAAGAUUAACCGUCGAAGAGCUUUAAGAGAUUUUGAGACUCAGGUAAUGAGCCAUAAAGGUUAGUAAUCCAGUCUUUUUAGUGGUUUUUGGGAUAUUUAUGGACCUAUAUUUGCUUCCACUCUCUGAAAAAAGAAUGGGAAAAAUAAACAUAUUAUUCAUUGUGAAUGACUUCAUUAAUAUAAAGGGGGA